GUAAAAGAGAGGGUUUGUGGGGUAGGAUAGGGACUGAGAGGGGAGCAGCUCUUUAUUUUAUUUUUUUUAAAUUCAUAGUGCUCCCCCCUCUUGUCAAUGAGUGAUCUCUCCUUCCCUCCUGUCCCUCAGUGUUCUCCCCCUCUUCCCCUUAGUGCUCUUCCUUGGCCCCCUGUCCCCCUGCAGUCCCCCCUUGGUGGUCUUCUCAGUCCCCC